rnacentral:rRNA from 1 species
UACAGAGGGUGCGAGCGUUGUUCGGAAUUAUUGGGCGUAAAGGGCGCGUAGGCGGUGCCACAAGUCACUUGUGAAAUCCCCGGGCUUAACUCGGGGCCUGCAGGCGAAACUGUGGUGCUGGAGUAUGGGAGAGGUGCGUGGAAUUCCCGGUGUAGCGGUGAAAUACGUAGAUAUCGGGAGGAACACCUGUGGCGAAAGCGGCGCACUGGACCAUAACUGACGCUGAGGCGCGAAAGCUAGGGGAGCAAACAGG